UGUUGAGAAGAUGCAAGACGGAACAGAGAAAGAAGAAGAUGAUGA
rnacentral:sRNA from 1 species